UUACCAUCAUUAAGUUGGGUACUCUAUUAAGACUGCCGCUGACAAGGCGGAGGAAGGUGGGGACGACGUCAAGUCAUCAUGGCCCUUACGACCAGGGCUACACACGUGCUACAAUGGGUAUUACAGAGGGCUGCGAAGGUGCGAGCUGGAGCGAAACUCAAAAAGGUACUCUUAGUCCGGAUUGCAGUCUGCAACUCGACUGCAUGAAGUCGGAAUCGCUAGUAAUCGCAGGUCAGAAUACUGC
rnacentral:rRNA from 1 species